AAAGAAAGUAAGCAAGGGCGCAUGGCGGAUGCCUUGGCUCUCGGAGGCGAUGAAGGACGUGAUAAGCUGCGAUAAGCUUCGGGCAGGUGCAAAUAACCUUUGAUCCGAAGAUUUCCGAAUGGGACAACCCGUCAUUCUGAAGGAAUGACAUCUUGCAUAGCAAGAGGCUAACGCAGGGAACUGAAACAUCUUAGUACCUGUAGGAAAAGAAAAUAAUAAUGAUUCCCCUAGUAGUGGCGAGCGAACGGGGAUUAGCCCAAACCAAUGUUGUUACGGCAAUAUUGGGGUUGUAGGACCACGAUGUCGCAAGAAGUUUAGUGAGAAGAACCCUUUGGAAAAUGGGACCAUAGACGGUGAUAGUCCGGUAUUCGAAGCUAAAUGAAGCGUAGUGGUAUCCUGAGUAGCGCGGGACACGAGGAAUCUUGCGUGAAUCUGCCGGGACCAUCCGGUAAGGCUAAAUACUCCCGAGAGACCGAUAGCGAACCAGUACUGUGAAGGAAAGGUGAAAAGCACUUCGAAUAGAAGAGUGAAAUAGUCCCUGAAACCGUGCGCCUACAAGCGGUCGGAGCUGCUUCAGCAGUGACGGCGUGCCUUUUGCAUAAUGAACCUACGAGUUACUUUUUCCGGCAAGGUUAAGGAUCUUGAGAUCCGCAGCCGAAGCGAAAGCGAGUCUUAAUAGGGCGAUUAGUCGGAAGGAGUAGACGCGAAACCAAGUGAUCUACCCUUGGUCAGGUUGAAGGUUAGGUAACACUAACUGGAGGACCGAACCGAUAAGCGUUGAAAAGCUUCCGGAUGAACUGAGGGUGGGGGUGAAAGGCUAAUCAAACUUGGAGAUAGCUCGUACUCCCCGAAAUGCAUUUAGGUGCAGCCUUGGGAAUUACUACUGUGAGGUAGAGCGACUGAUAAGAUGCGAGGGCUUCACCGCCUAUCAAGUCUUGAUAAACUCCGAAUGCGCAGUAGUUCGAUCCCAGGAGUGAGGGCAUGGGUGCUAAGGUCCAUGUCCUAAAGGAGAAGAAUCCAGACCAUCAGCUAAGGUCCCGAAAUAAUUGCUAAGUUGAACUAACGAAGUCAGAUUGCUAAGACAGCUAGGAUGUUGGCUUGGAAGCAGCCAUUCAUUUAAAGAGUGCGUAACAGCUCACUAGUCGAGGAGUUUGGCGUGGAUAAUAAUCGGGCAUUAAGCAAUUUACCGAAGCUAUGGGAUGUUAACUAAACACUAACAUCGGUAGGGGAGCAUUCCACUCUGCGUCGAAGGUGAAGCGUGAGCUUUGCUGGAGCGUGUGGAAAAGCAAAUGUAGGUAUAAGUAACGAUAAAGGGGGUGAGAAACCCCCUCGCCGAAAGACUAAGGUUUCCUGAUCAACGCUAAUCGGAUCAGGGUUAGUCGGGUCCUAAGGCUCAGCCGAACGGUGAGGCCGAUGGCAGAACAGGUUAAUAUUCCUGUACUACCUUAAGGAGUGACGUGGAGACGGAGGAGUGACAACGCCGCGGACUGACGGAAUAGUCCGUUGAAGGGUGUAGAUGUUGAUUAUCCCAGGCAAAUCCGGGAUAAGAGUCGAACCUGAUAGUAUACCAAAUUCUUCGGAAUAAGGUAAUAGUGCGUGUAAGCAUACUCCCAAGAAAAUCCGCUAAACUUAAUCUUUAAGGUACCCGUACCGCAAACGGACACACGUAGUCGGGUUGAAUNUUGCUAAGUUGAACUAACGAAGUCAGAUUGCUAAGACAGCUAGGAUGUUGGCUUGGAAGCAGCCAUUCAUUUAAAGAGUGCGUAACAGCUCACUAGUCGAGGAGUUUGGCGUGGAUAAUAAUCGGGCAUUAAGCAAUUUACCGAAGCUAUGGGAUGUUAACUAAACACUAACAUCGGUAGGGGAGCAUUCCACUCUGCGUCGAAGGUGAAGCGUGAGCUUUGCUGGAGCGUGUGGAAAAGCAAAUGUAG
rnacentral:rRNA from 1 species